UUUUAACCAGGUUUUCCGAAGGAAAAAACUGGUUAUUAGAUUGGCGAAUGCGGGCGGGCUGGCUGGCUGGCGGGCUGGCGGAAUAAGCUUGUCCGGGCCAUAACUAUGUCGUUCAUUGUCAGAUUUUAAAAUCAUUUGGCACAUUUGUUCACCAUCAUUGGACGGUGUGUCGCGCGAAAUAAUUACGUCGAUAUCUCCAAGGUCAAGGUCACACUUUGAGUUCAAAGGUCAAAAAUGGCCAUAAAUGAGCUUGUCCUGGCCAUAACUAUGUCAUUCAUUGUGAGAUUUUAAAAUCAUUUGGCACAUUUGUUCACCAUCAUGGGACGGUGUGUCCCACGAAAGAAUCACGUCAAUAUCUCCAAUGUCAAGGUCGCCACGACUAAAAAUAGAUUUAAAAAAAAAAAACUUACAAAGG